AACGUAGGGGGCGAGCGUUGCCCGGAUUCACUGGGCGUAAAGCGGGUGUAGGCGGUCCGCUAAGUCGGGUGUGAAAUCUCCGAGCUCAACUCGGAAACUGCAUCCGAUACUGUCGGACUUGAGGACGGUAGAGGUCGGUGGAAUGCCGAGUGUACCGGUGAAAUGGACAGAUAUUCAGCGGAACACCAGUGGCGAAGGCGGCCGACUGGGCCGUUCCUGACGCUGAGACCCGAAAGCCAGGGUAGCGAACCGG
rnacentral:rRNA from 1 species